rnacentral:rRNA from 1 species
UGAGGAAUAUUGGUCAAUGGGCGGGAGCCUGAACCAGCCAAGCCGCGUGAUGGAAGAAGGCGCUAAGCGUCGUAAACAUCUUUUGCCGGGGAACAAAGGCAGCCACGUGUGGCUGUAUGAGUGUACCCGGAGAAAAAGCAUCGGCUAACUCCGUGCCAGCAGCCGCGGUAAUACGGAGGAUGCGAGCGUUAUCCGGAUUUAUUGGGUUUAAAGGGUGCGCAGGCGGGCAGUUAAGUCAGCGGUAAAAGCCCGGGGCUCAACCCCGGCGAGCCGUUGAAACUGGUUGUCUUGAGUUGGAGAGAAGUAUGCGGAAUGCGCGGUGUAGCGGUGAAAUGCAUAGAUAUCGCGCAGAACUCCGAUUGCGAAGGCAGCAUACCGGCUCCAUACUGACGCUGAGGCACGAAAGUGCGGGGAUCGAACAGG